AUGACUUUCAUCACCAUCUUCAUCUGGACACUGACUCUCUGUUUUCAUGAGUCCAGAGGACAGGUGACUGUGACUCAGACUCCUGAAGUCAAAUCUGUUCUUCCAGGAGACACAGUCACUAUCAACUGUAAAACCAGUCCUGCAGUGUAUUACUACAGUGACAGUUCCUAUGGUCACUACCUGUUCUGGUACCAACACAAACCUGGACAGGCUCCUAAACUCCUCAUUAAAUAUGCAAACAAGUUACAGUCAGGAAUUCCAAAUCGUUUCAGUGGCAGUGGAUCUGGGACUGACUUCACUCUGACCAUCAGAGGAGUCCAGACUGAAGAUGCAGGAGAUUAUUACUGUCAGAGUUACCAUGAGAUCAGUGGUAAACCUCUGUUCACACAGUGA